UUUCAUCCAGCUAACCGGAAGUUGGCUGGAGGACUCUCUGUGCAGUCCCUGCACUAACAUUUGUGUUACAUGAAAAACCGAAUCUGCAAGUUUGAAAAUUCAUCAAAUCUCAACUAAAUAACUUGAACAUUAUAGGGUCUGUGAAUCAGCAGCACUUAUUUCUACCGGUCCCUCUUAAAGGCUUUGGAUGAGUGGGCAAAUAAUUCCUAUUUAUACAGAGAUGUAAACUUUCCCAAAAGAGUCUUGAGGGGAAUGAAGGAAGUCACAUCUCUGACUAAAACUAUCUGCCUUUCUGGAAAAUCAAUGACCCAAAUCGAGAACACAUCCACUACAGACCAGAGGGGAGUUUGAUCUGCACGAUCUCGGGGAUGGAGGCCCCACCAUCUUGUCACUGUGCAGCCUAGAAAACUCAGUUUCUCAUCUGCUGCCACAAAGGAG
rnacentral:sRNA from 1 species